AGCUACCUGCCUGUUGUCAGUAGAGCACGGACUCUGAGUGGCUGAGUGAUUUGAAAAUAAUCCACUGUUACGCAGUCUCAUCUGCGUGCAUCUUACAAAACACAGCUAGUUCGGCUGGCCACGAUCUUAGCUUUGGUCCCAAUACUGCGCUUUCACUGGCUGAGCUGGUGGCCUCAGGCACACAACUGUGCCCAGGGGUAAUGAUGGGCUCAUGUGUUUCUGUGGGUUUCCUUAGGACAGUCCUACAGGGUAGCGACAAAGACCCAGAGGAGUUCUGAAUAAGGUGGUCAGCUCUAGCACAACAACCAGAACGGCAAGGACCUCGGGUCCUCUCACACUAAGUUGCUGCAAUUGGGAGGCCCUUUCUGUAUCACACUGCCUUCAAACAAGGGCUGCCAAUACAGGAGCUGAGGAGACAAAAGAGAGUUCAACAACCCUGAAAACUGUAGCAUGGGUGCCAUAUGCGGGAUGUGAUGAUACCAGAGUCUACCCCUGCCUGUUCGGAGGAGAUGCACGCGGGAAACAGCAGCGAAGAGGGGACUGGAAAGCAGGAGACUUCAGCACACCUCCCACAGCACCUUAGCUGAAGCCACGCCCACACAGAUUUGCAAACAGAAAACAAGGAAUGAAGAGAGCUUCUCCAGUGCCUGUGUCGCAGAGGUAAGCAGGGCCCUGGAGCCUGCCAUUUGUGCAAGGAGACUGUCGCCUGAGGAAGUCUCACAACAGAAUGUCUGGGUAACACAAGGUGAAGUGUUGGCAACAAACAUCAGGAGCCUUCUCUCGGCAGAGGAGGAGAGAAUGAUGAGAACUCCAUCAUAGAGUGUUCUUCCUGGCUGGCUGCUCCUUCUGACAAUGAAAAGAGAGCAAAGCAACCACACCCUGGCAGGACAGAAAAUGGAUUUGGAGUCAGAGUCCUCUCCCACUGAGUGGCUAGGGAGACUGUGAGGAAAAUUCUCCCACUUGUCCUGAGGCUCACUUCCUUUCAUGUUUCCAGGAAUGAUGAAACGAGGGCUAGAGGGAUGGGUAGGCUCACAACCAAACACUUAAGAAUGAUGGAGUGAGCCAUCGCAAAGCUGUGAAGACAAUAUGUCAGUGCGCCAUGUCAGGUCCUGUCCCAGGACAUAUUCCUGAGAUGAGAAAGGGGUCACAGGUCAGGAACCUGCAGGACCUGGAGGACGUUGCCUAAGAAACUGUGGUCUCUACUGAGGGAUGGUUUGAGCCCUUUGGCAUAGGCUGCUGUGGCAAAGGGUGGUCCAAAGAACUUGGAUGGCCCCAGACUUGAAACUCUGUACCCGUCACUAGCACUGGGAUGGGGGAGACGUAGAUGGCUCUUCAGAGACAAUAACCCUAACGUGAGGGACCAAGGCCCACACCUGCAGGGAAGCUGCAGAAGGAGGACAGAGGUAUUGACCCUGUAAAGCAAUCUGGCUGAGACCAGCAGCAGCCACCGCU